AGGACUCCUAGAUCGAGUCGCAUGCUUUUCCAACGGAGCCAGCCAGGCGCCCCUACUAUUCUCCUUCUUCAGAAGAGGAAGCCGAGGCCUAAGGAGAUGAAGGAACUGACCUAAGGUUAAACAGCUGAACCAUGAGCGGGUGAGGCAGGCCUGGGACUAAUGGUGGAGGGAGCUGACCCUAAAGCCUGUGCUCUAUGCCAGCACUUCCGAUCUGAGCGAGCAGCAGCGCCGCCUGGGACACUGGCAGUACCCAUUCCAGGGCCACCGUACUCUAAUGAGGGCAGCACAGACCUGUGUGUGAUCUGGAGAGUACCUGUUUAACAAAUGUCCCGGAGAAUGCUGAGGCAGGAGGUACCCAGGACCUCACCCUGAGAGUAGCCCCCAUCUCCCCAUCAACCACUGACCCUCGAAAGAAGUUUGGCAUUGCCAGGGCUCUUCUUGCUGGAGCUGAAGCUCUACCCUCAUUUAGGAAUGACUGCAAUGCAAGACAAAGGUUGCCGACAGAAGGAAAAGAGAGAUCAAGGGCAUGUGGGAUGAGCCACUCAUGCCCAGGAGGAAAACAAAAAGCUACAUAAUAGCACCGUGCUGCUCUUCGGGUCCCAAAAUCAGUUGCACUUCCUCUGGGACAUCUUCUCUGACUGCCAAAUCUAGCCCUAGGUGUCCCCUUGGCAGUGCUCUGUUGGCUCCCUAUGCAAGACGGCCAG